rnacentral:rRNA from 1 species
CACCAGCAGCUCAAGUGGUGAUCGCGUUUACUGGGUUUAAGGCGUGCGUAGUCGGUUCGGCAAGUCUUCUGUGAAAUCCUGCGGCUUAACCGCAGGGAUUGCAGAAAAUACUACCGUGCUCGAGGCCGGGGUAGGUGUGGGGUAUUCUGGGGGUAGCGGUGAAAUGCUAUAAUCCCUGGAGGACCACCCGUAGCGAAGGCGCCACACUGGAACGGGCCUGACGAUGAGGUACGAGAGCUAGGGGA